UACGGGGGGGGCAAGCGUUGUUCGGAAUUACUGGGCGUAAAGGGCGCGUAGGCGGCCAUCUAAGUCAGACGUGAAAUCCCCCGGCUUAACCUGGGAACUGCGUCUGAUACUGGACGGCUUGAGUAUGGGAGAGGGAUGUAGAAUUCCAGGUGUAGCGGUGAAAUGCGUAGAUAUCGGAAGGAACAUCAGUGGCGAAAGCGACUUCCUGGACCAAUACUGACGCUCAUGUGCGAAAGCGUGGGGAGCAAACAGG
rnacentral:rRNA from 1 species